CCCCAACUUCUGAAUGUUGACCUCGGAUCAGGUAGGAAUACCCGCUGAACUUAAGCAUAUCAAAAGCCGGAGGAAA
rnacentral:rRNA from 1 species